rnacentral:lncRNA from 1 species
GAGGAGACUGAUGGGGAGUGACCUGUGAGGUAGCAGGACCAGGUGAACUGGAAUCCCCAGGUCCAGAUAAGUGAGGGUUUCCAGGAGGAGGAGUGGUCGACUCAGCUGCUGCUGAGAAGCUCAGCGAGACCAAGAAGUGACCCCCGGAUUGGGCAGCGGAGAGGUUGAUCCUUCUAGUCUCGUGGCAGAACUUUGUAGACACCAAGCGAGCGGGGCAGCGUGUUCUGGACCUCAUUCCUCACACAGGGCUCACCUCCGGAUGAGUCAGAGGCCUUAGCCGGUGGCCCAGCCCCGGGAAUGCCACCCCGGUUCUGUACCCUGCCCAGGCCAGCUGACAGGGUGUAUUGGGGCACACACCUGCAGCAUCCAGGGCACUCCAAGGAGAGGGACGUACUUUUGAGGAGAGUCUAAAAGUCUAAGUCCCCCACCUGAACUUGGUGGGGGAAGGGCUUCUAUACCAGGAGGGCUCCCAGCCCUGUUUCUUAAAGGCCAUUUAGGCAGAAGUGAACGUGGUCUCUUCAAUAAAGUUAAUAAUGGUUCAUGCUGCAGAAAAUGUUCAAGACAAAACCCUGCUUAUUUACUCAGGCUUUAAAACCAUAAAACUCCCAAAUUCUCCCUGUAGCUAUUUAUAUCCAGAGCUAGUCCCC